CUGAGAGGAAUGGACUAAUCCAAUCAGUUUAUUAACAUAAGAGAUAUAGAGAGAACAGAUUUGUAACCACUUCUUGACUGGGCAGCAGUGUAGUAUAAUGGGUAAGGAGCUGGUGUUGUAGCCUGGUCCCAGGUAAGACACUGCCGUUGUACCCUUGAGCAAGGUACUUUACCUGCAUUGCUGAAGUACAUAUCCAGCUGUAUCCAUGGAUGCAAUGUAAGUGCUAUGUAAAAUGUUGUGCAAGUUGCUCUGGAUAAGAGCAUUUUCUAAAUGCUGUAAUGUAAUGAUAAAUGAAUUGUGAAUGAUGCUUGCAUUUGUGAAAUUGUGUGGCAUUAUCUCUGGAUGGAGCAAACCCCAUUAUGAUAUUUCACAAGAGAAAAAAUGGCAUGACUCGAUUUCUCGAUUUGUUUUGUUGCCUUCAAAAGGCUCAAAAGUAAACAACUGAUUCAGGAGCUAAAACAGUUCGAUAAAAAUGUCAUGUAUCCACCAUGUCAAAUUGCCUAAAACUGACGUAUAUCCUGACGUUCUCAGGGUACAAUAGAACACCUUUUUAACGUGAAGCUUUUCCGUACAUACUCGUCAUAUAAUUACGUAAGAGGCCUGUGCAUUGAGACCAAUCAAAAAUACAAACCAGUUUGAAUACACGUUCAAAAGACAAACUUUAAUACAGGUUCAUUCAUUGGGUUUCAGAAAAAGUUCAUUAGGAACGUUUUCUGUGAAUGUCAAAGAUGCAUGCCCUGUUCAGGAUCUUCAUCAAAUGAAUCGGCAAACCUCUGGUCUUCUCGUCCCUCCAGACUGGCGAUCUGGAAGGCAUGGAGAGGCCCACGUCAUUCUUGGCGCAGACUCUGAAGUAGUACUCCUGGCCGGGGACGAUGUUGCAGACGGUGCACUUGUUGUUGAAGAGGCGGUCGGCCACGGUCUCCCAGGCCCGCUUGACCGGGUCGCGCUUGGCCACCGCGUAGUGGAGCCGGUCGUCGCGCUUCUCGUCCGGGGACGGUGUCCAUGAUAACGUCACGGUGCCGGCCACGUUCUGCUCCAGCUCCACGGGCCCCGGGGGUUUGGGCUCAUCUGGAACCAGGUCAGAAACGCGAUCUCUCACUCACCCCACAAUCUCUCCCGCUCUCUCCGUCUCCCUGAGUCACGGGGCGAGAUCUGAACCGCCUAGCGCGAAGCCGUCAGCUUUUGGAUCUAAUGCAGCGGAUAGGCCUAACACACGUACCCAGGCUUCCCAGAGUUAUCGCCGCUCAGCUGUCUGAUAUUGCAAGGCCUCACUGCAAUAUCAGGCCUCAGUGCCUUAUCUCUUUAUUUCCUUAUUGGGAAUGUUAGUGGCUGACAUUCGUCUCUGUCCCUGAAAUCAUGACUGACAUUCGUUUGUCCCUGAAAUCAUGACUGACAUGUGUCUGUCUCUGAAAUCAUGACUGACCUGUGUCUGUCCCUGAAAUCAUUACUGACAUGCGUCUGUCCCUGAAAUCAUGACUGACAUGUUUCUGUCCCUGAAAUCAUGCUUGACUGUGUCUGUACCUGAAAUCAUGACUCGCAUUCAUUUGUCCCUGAAAUCAAAGGCUGUGAAACUUUAAAGGGGACAGGACGUUACCUGUGACUCUGAUCUCAAUGCUGAAGGUUUCCUGGCCGACUAUGUUCUUGACGAUGAUGGUGUAGACGCCUGUGUCAGAAUGCUCCGAUGUGGGAAUCAGGAGCAGGGAUCCUCUCUCCGUAUUGCUAACGGUUAUCCGUUUGGACACGGGCAUCCCGUCCUUCAGCCAAAUUAUGUCUGGCAUCGGGGAGGCCUGUGCACAAAAAUUCACUCGCACUGAACAAAUGUUAAAAUAUUCAAAAAAGAAACUAAAGAAAACUUUGAUUGUUUGAUUGAUUGGUUGGCUGGCUAUCAUUGUUAGACAAGAAUUAAUUUGACCGUAGCAAUGUUGAAAUGUCUUGGUAUCACUUAAAAAGAUGUGUCUUGAAUUUUUCCACACUGCGACAACUACGUGAGGUAAAUUUUUGCAAGUGGUUAGACGAGAGUUGCCGCUGUUUUACCUCAAAGUUGAUUUUGACUCUCACAGAAUUUCCAACUCGGACCACCAUUAAAGUCUCCAUGUUUGAAUCUGUGAACCUUGGCCUCACUGCAAAAAGAAACCGCACAUACUCAGUAAUGGACUGAUCUGAAUUAUAUCCAAUUGUCUGAAUGUCUUGGUUUUUU